GACGAACGCUGGCGGCGUGCUUAACACAUGCAAGUCGAACGGAAAGGCUCCAGCUUGCUGGAGUACUCGAGUGGCGAACGGGUGAGUAACACGUGGGUAAUCUGCCCUGCACUCUGGGAUAAGCCUGGGAAACUGGGUCUAAUACUGGAUAUGACCUUUCUCCUUAUGGGGUUUGGUGGAAAGUUUUUCGGUGUAGGAUGAGCCCGCGGCCUAUCAGCUUGUUGGUGGGGUGAUGGCCUACCAAGGCGACGACGGGUAGCCGGCCUGAGAGGGUGAUCGGCCACAUUGGGACUGAGAUACGGCCCAGACUCCUACGGGAGGCAGCAGUGGGGAAUAUUGCACAAUGGGCGGAAGCCUGAGGCAGCGACGCCGCGUGAGGGAUGACGGCCUUCGGGUUGUAAACCUCUUUCAGCAGGGACGAAGCGUAAGUGACGGUACCUGCAGAAGAAGCACCGGCUAACUAUGUG
rnacentral:rRNA from 1 species